rnacentral:lncRNA from 1 species
AAGGUUUUGUGUGCUUCUUCCCAUAACUAUAACAUGGGCGACAUUUGACAAUGCGCGCAUACAUGCAUGUGUAUCCUCGAUAUUGUUGUGGUUUAAUCUGUAUUGUCUUACCUACACGCUCUAUCCUUCCAUCCCGUACUGUGAUUAGUUUAGUCAACCUCAUUACUAAAGAUUAAGUCGAUGCAAAAUAUUUUUAAGGCGACUCCUCCGUAGUACAAAGGUAGAAACUUUUUUAUGACAUCUUCCAUGUAGCCACCUUCUUGGCGACAAGGUGUUUGAAAGUGAAAAUCGAAAAAUUAAACUGCAUAACCUUACCGAUUACCUAACAUCAUUCUUAUUCCGGAACUUUACACAAGAUGAAGACGAGGGCCAUCUAUGCAAAUUAUGCAGGAAACGUGGAGUGGCCGAGUAAAGAUUCGCCAUCUUUUGCAUCAGUGGUAGGGUAUUUGGACCCGAGAGUGGACCUUGACAGCCGCCUGAAGCAGGAAGACGCACGGUAUAAUGCAUACUUGUCCAUGAUGGCUGCUAAGUUGUCGUACGAGAAUGAUUCUUUCGUUGAAACCACCGUCAGAGAUCGUUGGAAGGUUCAUCCCUCACUAACCCUCAAUAUGAUAUCGACAGACAAACAUAUAGUUAUCAUACAUCAUUGAAUUUAAUCAUAGAGAAUAUGAAAGAUGAUUGCAAUAUGAUAUUUUUUCAUCUAAACAACAUGGAUAAAGCUAUCCACUGACCUGUUUAGUCAUCUGGAAGGAGUUUUAGCUUAAUCAAAACCAUCCCUUUGUGCUUGGUGAUGACUAGGACUGACUUUUCUCCUCUUCUUUUUGUCUUUUUUAUGGCUUUAGAUGGAAUUCUUGCAGUGUGGGGACUUUUGGAAUGGUACGUAUUAUCAUAUCUUCUGCAUAUCUAUACAUAUUACUGGUCAAAUAUGGUUUUCAACUUAGUUGCUUGCUUAAUUAAGACAAUAUAAAAUAAGUUGUGCAAUCUUCGUGAUCUUACACUAGCUAAUCGUUCACCACAUAAUAAAAAUUCAAGGACAACCCCAAGAAUCACGGAUUGUAAUCUUAUAUAGUUGAAUUAGAUUAUACUUAUGUAUCAAGCAAUAUGACUUUGAUCCCGAACUCAUAUAAGAGCUACACGGGAACUCCCCAAAUAUAAAACAUUGACAAUGGUUGGAUUUUUAUUGACUCUUGAUGAGAAGCAGUAUUAACCAUGUAUAGAUAGUUUUAUUUUUUCUUUUUUAGAUGCUAUUAAUACACUGAAGUUUUGCGCAUGGUCGUGGAUCCUCAACCCUGCAUGGUGCUCCAUUCGGUAUCUCAAUAAAUCUAACUCAUUGACUUACAAAAAUGGGAUUCAAUUCAAUGGUUGAGAUUUAUCGAGACACCGAGAGGCGCACCGUACUAAAAAUAUGAUUUUCUCCAUCAUAUUAAUAGUUUCUCAAUAAAUCUAACUCAUUGACUUACAAAAAUGGGGAUUCAUGUCAAUGGUUGAGAUUUAUGGAGACACCGAGAGGUGCACUGUACUAAAAAGAUGAUUUUCUCCAUCAUGUUAAUGGUUUCAUAUAAUAUGCAAGAGAAAGAAUGAUAUUUUUGAAGUAUCUCAUACUUUUUCCGAGAAAGAACAAAAGGGAAUGCAAAGCCCUGAUUCUUAUCGUUUUUGGAAAAUCUAAAAGGUCAAGAUACAAGCUGGUCGAUGUUAUUAUUCAUUGCACAUAUAUUGUCACCACAUAUGCUUCAUUUAAGAAGCCUAAUAAAAAGCAUACAACAAUACAAGCACUUCUUACGAACAAAAUAUAAUGUCGGGGACUUUACAAAUUCAACCAUUCUUUUCUCUUUGAGAGAAAUCACAAAGCCAAAUUGAAGUUGCAAAAUAAUAAUAAUAAUAAUAAUAAUAAUAAUAAUAAUAAUAAAAGAAACAGGGUUCUAUUUUGAGUGAUUUUUUUUUUGGUUGAAAUUUUGAGUGAUUUUUUUAGUUUAAAAGAAUUUAUAUAUAUGAAUUCACUGGAUAUAUAUAUGGUUUUGUUUUUCUUAAAUAAGCUAAGAAAUAUAUGCUUUGUUGACCCGAUUCCUAACAGCUCAAACUUUUUGAAAAUGUAAUUAUUUUGACAUGGUAUCAGUAAGCGUUUUAUCAUAUACUAUUCGAAUUUGCUCUUGCCAUAAGAAGGAAAGUUGCUUUGAUAAUAAAAAUCCCGCAUCCUCAUGUAGAUCACCUGGAGCAACACUCUACUCGAGCCAUCAUGUUGAAAGACCGAGACCUGAUCGUGUUGGCAUUUAGGGGCACCCGCCCUUUUGAUGCGGACGCAUGGCGCACCACCAUCGAUCUCUCUUGGUACGAGGUCGAGGUCAAGCUUGAAGGAGAAGCGGGGCUGGAGUGGGUGAGCAUCCACGGCGGCUUCAUGAAAGCCCUGGGCCUACAAAAGGGCCGAGGAGGGCUCAAGGAGAUGGAUGAGGUAGCCGAGGAAGGCAAAAGCUAUGCUUAUUAUGAGAUUAAGGAAAUGCUAAGGAAUUUAUUGAAGGAGAGAGGGACAAAGUUCAUAGUGACGGGGCAUAGUUUGGGAGGGGCACUUGCCAUCCUAUUCGUGGGGGCGUUGUGCAUGCACAAGGAGGAUGCAAUUCUGGAUAAGUUGGAAGGAGUGUAUACAUUUGGGCAGCCGAAGGUGGGGGAUGAGAGAUUUGGGGAGUACAUGAGGAGGAAGAUUUGUCGUCAGGUGAAGUACUAUAGGUAUGUCUAUUCAAGCGACCGUGUUCCUAGGAUGCCUCGUGAUGGCAUGGUCUUUGGGUUCAAGCACUUUGGUCCUUGCCUCUACUUCAACAGCUUGUACAAGGGGAAGGUAUCACCAUCUCUCUCUCUCUCUCUCUCUCUCUCUCUCUCUCUCUGAGUACUUGAUUAAGAGACGUGUCUUGAUAGUUUACGCUCUUACAUUGUAACUGACCAUUUCUUUAUUGCAAUGGACCAAACUGUGCUGUGCAUGUAAGUUACGGGCUUAAAAGGACCCAUGGGAUGGGUAAGUAAGGAAAAGGAGGGCUCGAUGCAACACAGCAACCAUGCAUAAAUAUCGCGCCUUGUAUAUUUGGCUCUCACGCUCUCCUAAUUACGUGACGAUUGAUUUCAGGUGUUAGAUGAGGAGCCGAACAAAAACCGCUUGCUGUUGUUAUGGCUCAUACCAAACAUCAUGAAUGCGAUUUGGGAGCUGAUGAGGGGCUUCGUCAUGCCGUGUCUGAGAGGCCGAGCAUACCGAGAGAGCUGGGUCUUAUUACUGUUUAGGAUGGUCCGCAUUGCAAUUCCAGUACUGUCUGCUCAUUCACCUCAAGAAUAUGUCAAUAUGACUCAACUCGGCUCCUUACGCUCCCAUGAGAUAAGCUAGAUCCAAUCAAUCAGGACCGUGAUCUAUGGACCAACGAGAUCCUGAAUGGGAAAAAAAAAGUUGUGUUAGGUCUUACGGCCGUGUCAAUAAAUUUGGAAAACGUACUUGUCUAAGAGGGCAAACUGAUGUUCCUUCGAGACAGAAUUAGUUACUUGCACUGCAUGCUAUUGAGAAAUUCUGUAUGUGGUGGAUUGAGAGAGAAUAAAACCCUAAACGCUUGAAGAACCCGUUGGGGUGUGCAAUAUGGUUAAGUGGUAUACUUCCUCAGGCUGAGAGGAGACGGUCUCUAUGUGUCACUAAUUUGAUAUAUAUUCUUAUAGCUUUUGUGGACCAUCUACAGUGCAAGAUCGAAGUUGAUUUAUGAAAUGAACCUAAAUAGAGAGAAAAAUGUUCAUGGUGAGAUCUAAAACUGACUCACAGAGAAUCGGCAAAAUGAGAUGAAUAGCGAGGAGGAAUACUAAUGCUGCCAAGCUUCACGUGAGAAGGCAUGGGAAUGCUAACAGCCCAGUACAUAAAAGGAGCAUGAAGAAUAAAAAAAAAAAGAAAAAAAAGGAGCUUCGCAAUUAUAUAAAAAUUACACAAUUAGGUUAUUGGGUUACUCGAGUAAAAUAUUUUCAAGUUUGAGCCCUCGAGCUGAAUAAGUAUUCCAAUUGUUGCUCAAAUUCAAAAAAUUUUACAUACGGCGAGCUACAUUAAAAGGAGCUUCAAGGACAUACCUAUUAUUUGGAUAUUUAGCCGAAAUGACUACAUUAGCAAAUUGUCAAAAGAUUUAAGAUUAAAUUGAUAAAUCAUCAAAAAAAUUUAGAACUAAGUAGACACGUGAGAGGUUUAGGAAUUAAAUUGGCAAAUCGUCAAAUAGUUUAUAACUAAACUAGUACAAUUAAAAUAUUUAGAAUUGAAUUGACCUCCGUUCAAAAAGUUUGGGACUUUUUGGACAAUUCCUCCAUGCAAUAUAGGUUUCUCUACGAAAACCAAUGGUGAUAUAGCUCUCCGUGAUCUUGGCAACUCUGUUCUGAUGUUAUCAACGAACAUACAUGACUAUUGGGCACAUAUUAGUACCAUAACCUCGGUGACAUUCUACCUAUCGGUUACUCUCCUUUCUUGAUUUCGGAACAAUGGAGAAUAGAAUUGAAAAGUUUUAAAGUUUUGGAUGGAAUUCGGGAAUUUGCCAAAGUUAUAGAGUUUGUUAGGUAAUCGGGCUUUUUUCUGUUUAAGCAAUGUUUAAUCGAUAGCAUAACACGGUUCGUUGAACAAAAAGUUUGUGAAAAGAGAAAGGGAGGUGUGAGCAUGUAUGUCUUAGCACAAUCAAGCAAGCAAAGUACACUCUCGAUAGAAAAAGCAGAACAUCUCGAUUCGAUUGAAGUAGCAAAGAGUCUGGAGAUGUCCUGAAUGACAGCCACCAAUUGGGAAUUUUCUAGGUGGUCAUCCCCGAGGCAAAGGAACUUCCCACCUUUCUUGUGCCAAUUGGAAUAUAUGCUUAGUGCUCCGACUCAUGCGAUGUCGCACCAGAAAAGGAGAAAUCACACUACACGAGAUCGGGCGUACUUCUCUUUAUCAACAACGUGAUGCACGCCCCGAAAUUAUUCGAUGGACGUAGUACAAUCUAGACCAUUAAAUCUGAUGAGACCCAUAUGUCUUAAUAUUCUUCAAUUCAUCUUGCAGAUGAGUCUCUUUCUAUAUAUUUUGGACCGUCUCCGUUUGCAUUGCACACUCAUAGACUUUAGGUGUUUCAAGUUCGUGAGACAUUGUAAUAACUUCCCACGUUACAUGCCACCUUCAUCUUCUUUGCUUUCGGAGCCAUCCAUGGAAGAUGAUGACAAGCAUUGCUACCUUGAGCUUAAUCAUACGCGGGCAGGCUUUCUCGGCCUCGCUCGCCUCCUGUUUCAUGCGGACGUGUCCGAGAGAAAAUACAUUGGAUGCCACGAAAACUAUAAGAAGGAGCUCAGGGAGUUUGGGCAUAGAUGGAUUAUCUUCAUCUCCAUUGUCGGUCAGAAAGUCCUACACUUGUUCAAGGGAACGUUAGAGUGGCUCGGGAAGAAGUUGGAGUUCUGUCUUAAUCUCCCGUCGACCAACGGAGGAUUUCUCAAGCUCGUCACCAAUGCUCUCAAAGGUUUCGUGUGCUUCUUCCCAUGACUACAAACAUGGCCAACAAUUGAUAAUGCGUGCAUACAUGCAUGUAUAUCCUCAAUAUUCAUGUGGUUAUAAUUUAUAACUCCAUUUGUUUCGCAAAAAAUGAGAUAUUUCUAGAAAUUAUUUUUUAAGAAAUCAUUUUAAAAGAAAAUUACAAUAUUUUGUUGCGUUGGUUGAAGCCUAGAAAUGAACUAGAAAAUAUUUUCCAUCAUUUAAUAUGGAAAUUAAAUUUUCCAGGAAAAAAUUACCAUAAAAUUUAAAUUUAAAUUAUUUUUUAUAUAUUUCCUUUUUUUUUCUCUCUUUUUCUUUCUUUUCAUUUUUCCUUCUUCCUUGGUCAAUGGCCAGCGACAAACGAAGGAUCGGCGAGCUCGAGCCUUGCCAAAGGUUAGCAAGGUCACCUCAAUGAGACUCAAGGCUUGAGCUCAUCCCUCGCCCAUGGCCAAUCAUCGAUUGUCAUCUUGGCUGGCCAUUAGUCGAGGAAGAAGGGAAAAAAAAUUUGAAAGAAAAAAAUAAUUAAAAAAUCGAUUUUUUUAAAAAUAUUUUUAUAAGAACAAACAUUUCAUUCAUCAAGGACCCAAGCCCGAACGUUAAGGACUUGCACACAACCUUUGUGAGCUGGAGCUCAAGCACUAGGGACCCAAGCACGGUGUUUUUGGAGCUAGGCUAGGGGCUAGGGAAUCAAGCACGAGCACCACAAUUUCGAGCCCAACCUCAAUGCAUUCAGGCAUGAGUGCCAGGGGUCCAGGCUUUGCCUCACUGGACCUGGGCCCGACCGUUGGAGACCUAGUCCUAAACAUCGAGACCUGAGAACUAAAGCUAGGGUUUUCAUGCCUAUGCGUAGAGUUUUGGGUUCAAGUGCCGAUACUUAGUCAUAUUUUAAAAAAUAUUUUCGGUCAUUUCAAAGAUAAAAUCAUUUUCCUGAAUUUAAGCAUGGGUUUUCUAUUAAUAAGGAAAAUAUUUUUUAUUGACUCAUUUUUUCUAAGCAAAUCAAACGUCUAAAAAUAGGGGUGUGCAACGGGAACCGCCCGAACCGAGAACCGGCCGGACCGGACCGAACCGGCCGGUUUUGGGCGGUUCCCACGGUAGGCGGUCCGGUUCCCGGUUCCUAAUCUUGGAACCGGUGGCCAGUCGGUCCGGUUCCCGGUUCUAAGGUGGGAACCGAACCGAACCGGACCGAAACAAAUUUUUUUUAUAUAUAAUUUAUAUACAUAGAAUUAAUAAAAUAUAUAAACAUGAUAACUUAUUGCAACUAAAAUUGCAAUUUGAGGUAACAUCAUCUUAUGUGGCCAAGAGACCAUUAAAACUAUUUUUAUUACUCUUUUAUUUAUAGAAAAAAAAUCUCCUUGUUAGUUUUUGUUGGAAAUAUGAUUUGUUUUUUUAUUCUAAUUAUCUAAAUACGGUUAAUUGAUUCUAUGAAUCCAUGAGAUUGGAUAUUAGGACAGUAGUAUAGGAAACAACAUAUUUUGUAUAUUCUUUCCUAUCGUACUCUUUUCUUGUAUUAUUAAUAGGUGUGUAAUACAUGUACAAACACAACAAUACACAAUACAGAACAUUCCUCCAAUUCCUUCUCAGUUUUUGUCAAUUUUCUUUCUCAUUUUCUAUCAGUUUCAUCUUCUACUUGAUGUGGGACUAAGGUUCCAAGAGACCCGCAAGGCACUUCAAGCCUCCAAAGAGUCCCACAUUGACUAAACAUUUAAAGAGCAGAGAUUGUCUAUAAAAUCUAAGCCAUGCAUAACUUUUAGCCAAAUUAUUCACGUCUUUCAUGGUUAAAGUUAAGUGUGAAACACACAAAGUGUGAAUCACAUUUGAAUAUUUUGCACGUGGAAAAUGUGUGAUUAGUUUUGUUGAAUUGCUUGAGAACCGAAUUGGAUUGAUUGGUCCGGAGCGCAGUCACUCUUUAGUGCAAAAAAGUAGAGCCGAUUUUGUUGGACCGGACCGGACCGGAUCGGAAUCGAUGGUCAGUCCGGUUCCCGGUCCUAGGACCAAACGGUCCGGUCCACGGUUUGCAAUUUUGGGAACCGGUGCUCCCGGUCCGGUUCCCGGUUCCAAGGUGGAACCGGACCGAACCGGGAACCGAUCACCCCUAUCUAAAAAUAAGAAAAACUUUUUUCACGAAACAAACGAAACCUAUAUAAUCUUAUUCACAUGCUCCAUCUAUCUGUUGCAUACUAUGAAUAGUUUGGUUAAUCUCAUCACUGCGGAUUAAGUAUGAAAUUUUUUCCCGCCGACGGCUCCUCCUUGGUACAGAGGUAGAACCUUUUUGACGACAUCUUCCAUAAAGCCGUCUUCUCGGUGACAAGGUGUUCGAAAGUGAUUAAGACUUCAUAAAACCAUACCUAGCAUCAUUCUUAUCCCCACACGAGAAGAAGAUGAGGGGGUCACGUCUGCGAAUUUUGCAGGAAACGUGGUGCGGCCGGCGAGAGACUCGCCAACUUUUGCAUCAGCGGUAGGGAAUUUGGACCCGAGAGUGGACCUUGACAGCCACCUGAAGCAUGGAGACGCACGGUAUAAUGCAUACUUGUCCAUGAUGGCU